rfam:Roseburia sp. 499 contig000010, whole genome shotgun sequence.
GAUCAGCAAAGCCGGGGAAUGUGCAGACAUUCAUCGGAACUCCCGGCAAAAGGCUUGCAAAGGUGAUUUCCCUUUC